rnacentral:rRNA from 1 species
AGUGAACGCUGGCGGUAGGCCUAACACAUGCAAGUCGAACGGCAGCACAGGAGAUCUUGCUCUCUGGGUGGCGAGUGGCGGACGGGUGAGGAAUACAUCGGAAUCUACUCUGUCGUGGGGGAUAACGUAGGGAAACUUACGCUAAUACCGCAUACGACCUACGGGUGACAGCAGGGGAUCUUCGGACCUUGCGCGAUUGAAUGAGCCGAUGUGGGAUUAGCUAGUUGGCGGGGUAAAGGCCCACCAAGGCGACGAUCCGUGGCGGGUCUGGGCGGAGGAACAGCCACACUGGAACUGGUACGCGGUCCAGACUCCGCCGGGAGGCGGCGGUGGAGAAAAUUGGACACUGGGCGCAAGCCUGAUCCAGCCAUACCGCGUGGGUGAAGAAGGCCUUCGGGUGGUAAAGCCCUUUUGUUGGGAAAGCAAUCCAGCUGGCUAAUACCCGGUUGGGAUGACGGUACCCAAAGAAUAAGCACCGGCUAACUGCGUGCCAGCCGCCGCAGUAA